rnacentral:rRNA from 1 species
AAUGAACGUUGGCGGCGUGGAUUAGGCAUGCAAGUCGCGCGAUUUCCUUCGGGGAAGAGCGGCGGAAGGGAGAGUAACGCGUAGAUACCUACCCUCGGGACCGGAAUAGCGACGGGAAACUGUCGGUAAUGCCGGAUAACGUCCCUGGACCAAAGGUGUGAAUCCGCCUGAGGCGGGGUCUGCGUCCUAUUAGCUAGUCGGGGGGGUAACGGCCCACCGAGGCGAAGAUGGGUACCGGGCGUGAGAGCGUGACCCGGCUCACUGGGACUGAGACACUGCCCAGACACCUACGGGUGGCUGCAGUCGAGAAUCUUCGGCAAUGAGCGCAAGCUUGACCGAGCGACGCCGCGUGCGGGAUGAAGGCUUUCGGGUUGUAAACCGCUGUCAGUGGGGAGGAAAUUCUUGGGGGAACUCCCCCUUGAUUGACCGAUCCGCAGAGGAAGGACGGGCUAAGUUCGUGCCAGCAGCCGCCGUAACAC